AUCCACACGACUCUCGGCAACGGAUAUCUCGGCUCUCGCAUCGAUGAAGAACGUAGCGAAAUGCGAUACCUGGUGUGAAUUGCAGAAUCCCGCGAACCAUCGAGUAUUUGAACGCAAGUUGCGCCCGAGGCCUUUUGGCAAAGGGCACGCCUGCCUGGGCGUC
rnacentral:rRNA from 1 species